rnacentral:rRNA from 1 species
GACGAACGCUGGCGGCGUGCUUAACACAUGCAAGUCGAACGGAAAGGCCCUGCUUUUGUGGGGUGCUCGAGUGGCGAACGGGCGAGUAACACGUGAGUAACCUGCCCUUGACUUUGGGAUAACUUCAGGAAACUGGGGCUAAUACCGGAUAGGAGCUCCUGCUGCAUGGUGGGGGUUGGAAAGUUUCGGCGGUUGGGGAUGGACUCGCGGCUUAUCAGCUUGUUGGUGGGGUAGUGGCUUACCAAGGCUUUGACGGGUAGCCGGCCUGAGAGGGUGACCGGCCACAUUGGGACUGAGAUACGGCCCAGACUCCUGCGGGAGGCAGCAGUGGGGAAUAUUGCACAAUGGGCGGAAGCCUGAUGCAGCAACGCCGCGUGCGGGAUGACGGCCUUCGGGUUGUAAACCGCUUUCGCCUGUGACGAAGCGUGAGUGACGGUAAUGGGUAAAGAAGCACCGGCUAACUACGUG